CGAGAAGACCCUAUGGAGCUUUAGACAUUAAACAGCCCAUUUUAAGAAAAUCAGCAUAAAGAAAAUUAACACAAUGAAGUCCCUGUUGGAAUGUCUUUGGUUGGGGCGACCAAGG
rnacentral:rRNA from 1 species